UACGUAGGGGGCGAGCGUUGUCCGGAUUUAUUGGGCGUAAAGAGCGUGUAGGCGGUUAGGUAGGUCCGUUGUGAAAACUCGAGGCUCAACCUCGAGACGCCGAUGGAAACCAUCUGACUAGAGUCCGGAAGAGGAGAGUGGAAUUCCUGGUGUAGCGGUGAAAUGCGCAGAUAUCAGGAAGAACACCCGUGGCUAAGGCGGCUCUCUAGUACGGUACUGACGCUGAGACGCGAAAGCGUGGGGAGCGAACAGG
rnacentral:rRNA from 1 species